UAAUUUUUAGAAAAAAUAAAUUUAAAUAGAUUGUGAAUCUAAAAAUAAAAUUUU
rnacentral:tRNA from 1 species